rnacentral:rRNA from 1 species
GCACGGGCAACUGUGUGGGAGAGUAGGUCGCCGCCGAAU